rnacentral:rRNA from 1 species
AGCGAACGCUGGCGGCAGGCUUAACACAUGCAAGUCGAGCGGACCUUUCGGGGUCAGCGGCGGACGGGUGAGUAACACGUGAGUAACCUGCCCUUGACUUUGGGAUAACUUCAGGAAACUGGGGCUAAUACCGGAUAGGAGCUCCUGCUGCAUGGUGGGGGUUGGAAAGUUUCGGCGGUUGGGGAUGGACUCGCGGCUUAUCAGCUUGUUGGUGGGGUAGUGGCUUACCAAGGCUUUGACGGGUAGCCGGCCUGAGAGGGUGACCGGCCACAUUGGGACUGAGAUACGGCCCAGACUCCUACGGGAGGCAGCAGUGGGGAAUAUUGCACAAUGGGCGGAAGCCUGAUGCAGCAACGCCGCGUGCGGGAUGACGGCCUUCGGGUUGUAAACCGCUUUCGCCUGUGACGAAGCGUGAGUGACGGUAAUGGGUAAAGAAGCACCGGCUAACUACGUG